UCCGCCUCUAAGCCUUCCGGCAUGGGAAAACACUUCAUCUCGCCGAUCGCAGGCCAGAGGAAGGAGUCUCCCGUCUCUCUCCAUGGGAGGCCGAAGAGCUUCAUGCCCUUCGCAUCCGAGAAGCCGUUCUCUCUAACCCUGCGUGCUCUGAGGAGGAGACUGUUUCUCGAUUAUAUUUGUUGGCAUAAAUCACAAAAGAAGAAGAAGAAGAAGAAGAAGAAGAAGAAGAAGAAGAAGAAUAUGUUUCUUGACAGCAUUUUUGGCAGUAAUUCAGCUAACCUACGUGCUUUCUUGAUAUGAUCCAAGAUAGAUCUGCCUCAUAUUAUUUAGAUUUCUUUCAGUCUUAAUAAUAUCUUGAUGGUGAUAUAGCUUGCAUUGGUGCUUUCUUUAUAGGAUCCUUAUUUUGCUCUUUUUUCUCUAUAAUUUCUUGUUUCUUGCGAUAGUGCUUUCUUGAUAUGAUCUGAGAUAAGACUGUUUCACAUUAUCUUGAAUUUCUUCUCUUCUUGAUCUCCAGAUUUAUUACUGGACUCAGUUUUAUGAAUCAAAGAUUCACCCUAUUUUAUUUUUCGUAAAUUGAGCACAUCAACGGAGUGCAUAUCCAUUUUCUACAUGGUGACAUAUAACAUGACAAGGGAUCAUAUAUAAAUCAAAUAGGUGAAAACUUUAAUUGAUGAAAUGUGUGAAGCUGUCGAUUAAGGAAAUUAUACUGCAGACGUUAUGCUAUUGAUGUUUAUCUCAAGUUAGAGGAUGUUCUCUGUCCUGUCAUUUUGUGACCUUGAAGUUAUUUUAACUUUCCCAUCUUUUUGGAUAAUAGAAAUACCCCUUGGAAAGCAGCAGACAGAAAAAGAUACUGAAUUUUGAUUGUAUUCGAGGAGGAAUUGAAAUAUAUGCUAAAUUAGGCUGUUAAUUCAUCUUGUGACUUGAUGAAGGCCAUAAAAUUCCCACCCAUAAUGACUAGUGAUACAUCAUAAGUGCACAUAUCAUAUUAUGUGGAUCACUUUGUGUGGACUCCAUACAAUUUGUGCAAUAUGAGAGCCAUUUAUUUAAAUAUAACAUGCGCGUGCGAAAGAGAGAGAGUGAGAGAGCUUCAUCACUUCAAAUCUGAUAAUGAAGCUAUUCUUUUCGAGAAUAUCAACUAUUCUUUUCAAAGUAGAUUUGGGAGCAUAUUUUUAAUCUCAACUCUGAAAAAACAGAAUUGUCAGGAUGAGGAGUAGGGCCAUUUCUACUAAGCUAGUAGCACAUUGCCAAAAUCAAGGCACAGGUUUUGGUAAAGAGAGUGUAUUGGAACCCCCCAAACAAAGUAAGAAAUACUAUAUAAAACAAAAAAUGACAAGAAUAACCCAUUACAAAGGCAAGAAGAAAAGCUGUAGCCUUGGAGCCCACAUAGUAGCCUUUUCUGCAACUUGAUAUCCUGCAUAAUAUUUAGUGAUGGUUUUAAAUUGUUACUUAAUAAUCACUCCUUGCAUUUUGGAAUUAUGUGUUUCUUUCAAACAGCAACAGCCACCAAACUUGUUGACGCAAAUUUCAUGAAGGCCAUAAACUCUUAGUUCAGUCUUAAUUAAAGAUUUGCCACGUUCUAUUUAGCAACCUUUUUGAAUUAUUACUUAAACUAAUGAUUCCUUGUAUUUGGAAGUGCUUGUUUCUCUCGAACAACAGCCACCUAAUUCCUUGAAGCAAAAUUCAUUAAGGCCAUAAACUCUUUGAAGCUUCCCACAGGAGGUGGCUUCCAGAUGUCUCUUAUACUUCACUGGGGUUUUCUGCAUAAAUUUUCUACCUGUUACUCUUUAUGCUUCAUGGGACGAGGGACUAAAAGAAGGGAGAAAAGUUCAUCUUGUUCAAAAAGUCAUGGGACUAACUUGGGACUGGGAUUAGGGUUCAGGUGAUACAGUUAAGUAACAAAUGGACUUGAUCACAAGAACAUCCGGUCCUCUCACGUGAUUGGAGGUGUUUAGUAAGGGAAGAGAUAUGUUUCUGCUGAGGUUUAUCAGUAUGGGCGCAGUCCUCCCUCUUGGAAGCACAUAUGGCUGACAAGGUGGACUGAAGAGAGGGCAUGCAUGCAGGAAAUGGGAGAGUGCCCGAAGGGGAGUUGGUUCUUAUUUUUAUCAAGUGACUGGACUCACUUUGGAUUGUUGAGAUCAGGAUGGUACAGCAUAAAUGAUUGUGACAAUAGAUUUAUCAAACAAUAAGAACUGGGAUUCCAGGCGCUCCUCCAGAAGAACCAUGUUCACCUAUAGACAUUUUGUGAUUCAAAUGAUCUAGAGCCUGAUCCAACUAGUGAACCAACAGACUCACCAACUAUAGAUAUAAAUACUCUGAUGACCAGCUAACAGAAGCACGAUCAAGUUUCUGCUAUUUUAGGUACUCUGGACUUGGCUGAAAGAUCCGUCGGAAAUCCUGUUUGUAUAUCCUCACCAGAAAUGCAAGCUGGCAGUGACAAGCAGAUAGUUUUUGCGGCUGAUAAAUUAAAUUUGUAUGAUGAUGGCUUCUCUAGCCCACAUUUUCUAGACACACAUCAGCAGCGAAAAAUUUCUUUUAUGCAGUGUAUAUGAUCGGAUGCUAAAAAUGUUGUUGUGGACAUAAAAGUAUUUCACC